AUAAAUUUGUGGCUUAUAUGUCCAAAACAUUGUUCUUGUAAAUAAUUUUCCAAUUAAAUAACUUCAACAACUCAAAAAACAUAGCGUCAUUAAUUUGGGGUUUUUUCACAUAAAGAAGGAUACGAAGAAAAAAAAAGCAUACUAAUAAAAAUUAAUAUUUGGUAGGGUAGCCCUUUUGCUUAAGAACGUCAUUUAAGAAUUUUGACAUAUUUUGUACAAUUUUUCUUGUGUAGGAAACAAGAGUCUUACUCCAUUAUCCUUUAUAGUUUAUUUUCCAGAUCUUGGACGGAAGGGAUUGGCUAUUCUCGCUGAUGGCGGUCUAGUUUAUCCCACAUAUUUUUCAUGGGAUUUAUGGAUGGUGAUUGGGGAAGAGGAUGAAGCACUUUGGAACAGUUAUAUAAGAUUUUGUCGGACAGUUACUAAGAUUCUUAGAUAAGUGGAACACUUAUGCUUGAGGUCGUUUUCUUGGUAGAACUUAAAUGUUUUCAAAAUACCAAGUUUAUCCGCACCUUCUAUCAAAUUUUCCUUCAAUAUCCUUAAGUAACUCUCCUUGUUUAAAAGGCCAUAAUAGGAAACUAAGACGCGAGCGAAAAACCCCAAUAUUAAUCAAACUCACUCUAAUUAUAAAAAAAUAUAAAAAUACAUGAAAUAAAAUAAUUUCUAAAAACUGGAAAGAAAAAUUGUGAAGAAACUUUGCAAAACGACAAUGCUAGCCAUGAAAACUCAGCUUUUCAAAAGGCACGACAUAAAUGUUUCAAGCCAUAUAAGAGACCUACAUUGAAUAAGGCUUUUAAAACACAAAGUGUACAAAAAGUUGUAUGCCAAUUGUUUGGAAAGGAAAGCGUGCAAUUUAGAAGUCGCCGACAAAUGAGUUCGUGAUAUAGCGACGCUCUUAAGAUAGGAACCUUUCAAUAAAUGCCAGUUGCCGUUAGCUUACCAAAGAUUAUUGAGUGGUUGAAUAUGAAAUUGUCUAUAUUAAUUACCUGCAUUUAUCUUACUUUAUUUUUGCGUUUGUAAUGCCUUCGGAGUAUAUUUGUAUUGACGUGUCUUAUAAGACAGAUGGAUCUUAGAAUUAUUUUAGUUGUUUCUUUAUAUAGAUAUUUUUAUUAGAUAUCUAAUAUUAUAUAUUUUUACUUAAAAAAAAAAGUCCUCAGUUUCUUUUUAUAACGAGAGGAAAGUAGAUUGAAGGUAGUCUUCGGACAUAACUUCGGGGUCUCCCAUGAAAAUCAUGGGCCGAAGGAUACGAUAGGCAGAGCACGUAUAGAAAGGCGCGGAGGCACAGUGGAUGCCCGUUCGGCGGGUUAGGUUACGUCCGUGCGUGUAUUCCUUAAAGGGUAAGUACGCUCUGUUCUUUUACUUGUAACGGCCUCAGGAGUGUCAAGGAGCAAAAAAUAUAAAACCUCCUACGUUUCAUGAACUAGUUACCUCAGCAAAGGCAAGUUCAUCGGUCUCACACACGUAAAAUUCUCGUAAAGUGGCACUUUGGGGUUGCCCUAAAAUUUAAUUCAUUUAAUCGUUUUUUAUACGCAGACAGGAAGAAUAUAGAGCAGCGUUACGAUGUACGGGGCCUAUUGCCUCAAGUAUCCGGCAGAGGCACUGAAAACGAAUCACUGCAGUUGUACCUUCUAUAAUGUGCUCUGUUUUGUUUGUGGAAACAAUGGGCGUUAUUGCCAAUUUUAUCCGACAGGAAAUGUCAGGCUGAAAGCGAAGUACGAAGGUUUUUGCCAGACAGGCUCACAGCUGGAAACCCAUAUAUUGCAAAGAGCGAUAGUCAACUAUUCAUUAAAACCUAAUGCAAAGUCAACUAAAGUCAUCAUAAUCGCUACACAAGCUGGUGAUGACAAACCUUUUGCCAAGAUCAAGAUAGACGGCAAAAAAUCCAUCGCAGUAUUGGAUACUGUUUUUAGCUUUAGUUGUUGUAGAGCUUUAGUGAUAGACCUUUUAAAAGAACACCAAUUUAAAAUCGUUAAACCAAAAUCUCAACAAGUUUAAAUAACGAAUGCAACUGAAACGCCUGUAAAUGGUAGAAUUACCUUACUUGUCGUAUGGAGAGAAGAGGUACGUGACCUAAAAUCCUUAAUAGUUGCAGGCUUACAACGAGAAUUCUAUAUCGGCAUUAAUUUCUGAAAGGCUUUUCGUUUAACUGCGGCAGUUAAAUCAGAUCAUUCAGCUAAUUAUUACGCUUGUAAUUAAAUAAUGGAGAUAAUAAGCCAGACACAUUUUUGAGCGUAGCUCACGAACUUCCUGUCCCACAUCCGAACUUUUUAGAAAAAAUCAAUCAAUCUUUUCCAUAUUUUGAGAUACUAGAACUUGGCAAAACGCUUUUUGAAAAACAUGAAAUCACUACCACUGAAAAAUAUCUACCUACAAAACAAAAAUAUUAUGUUAUUUCCUCAGCGAUUCAAAAAUUGGUACAAAAAUUGAAAAGCGCGACGGCAGUUGGCAUUUACCAGUUACUUUGGUACGAAGGAGCACUAAAAAUUGUUUAUGUUUAAAUGAACGAUCGACCUGUGAAAUAUGCUUGUUCGUUGGCACACAUAGAUGGUUUACUCGGUCGCUUACAUGGUGCUGGUUACAUAACAGCUAUUGAUUUAAAAGACGCAUUCUGGUAAAUACCGUUGGAGGAGAUAUGACGCGGAAGGUCAGUGUUCAUAGUAGGCGGAAGACCAUUGUGUCAGUUACCGCUAAGGCCCUUUUGUUUAUGUAAAAUGCGACAGUGAAUGUAGGCUAAUGGAUUAUAUUAUACCUAGCUACUUGCUCGCUUAUUUUUGUAUAUUUGGAUGACAUAUUGGUUUUUACCAAAUUUUGUUGCAUCAAGCAGAUUGCUUGUCUGUAGUGGGUGCCGAAAGUUUGAAAGCGAAUCGGGAGAAUCUAAAUGCAAUAAACAAUACGAAACAACAGCGAAACAUUUAAGAAGGUUCCUUGGUAUGACUAGGUGGUACCGUAGAUUUAUUCGAAAUUACGCGGCGAUAGCUGUACAUCUACAUGACUGUCUCACGAAAAAUCGGUAAACGGUGUACUCGUUAAUAGAUCACACAUAACAUGCGGAGAGUUGACGAACUGUUUUGUUACACAGUCUCUGUGUAUAAGAUGAACCUGUGUAUAAAAGGCCAGGUUUUUGAACAAGAGAUGAAAUAUUUGAUGAAAAUAUCAGGAAAUUAAGUACGUACAGAGUUUAAAGGUAAGUAUUAUUGGCCUGGGAGGACAUCAGAUUGAAAUAAAAUAGUGAGCUGUAAAUUGGCUCGUCCGAAUAUAAUUUUUGCGUACACAUUCAUAUCACCAGCGAUACCGGUGGAUCGCAGCUGCAAUUUUCGCGCAUAUAAGUGUAGGGGGUUUCGGUUGGCCGGUAUUUACCAUUGUCCUUUGCGAAAAUGGCAAUAAACUGUAAAUUUAUGUUUUUCUUUUUGUAAUUGGCUAUUUUAAAAGCUAAAGCAAGAGACAGGAAAUAUUAAAAAAGAAAAAAAUUCCAAAGUCUGUCUGUAUAAUACAUAACUUGAGAUUAUUGGUUCUCCUUGUUAUACACCACGCACACAAAGCCAUAAACGGACUUAGACAUAGGAUAGUUUCAUUUUUCUCAACAAGCGAAAAGACGGAUUAGCUUGAACUAUAGAUGUGAAUACAUCACGCGGCCAAUCUCAAGUUUUAAGUAAUGAAUUUCCCACAUAAAAGUUUACUUCUUUUUUUUCAAAUAAUCCAAAUAAUUUUUGGAAAUAUUUAAAAGUUAAAAAUACAUAUAUUUAAAAUUUAUUCACUUACAGCUUAAAACUAGAUAAAACACAUAAUACUCAAAAUUUAAGUAAUUAAAACUUAAAAUUAAUUAAGGCACAUUUACUUAAAAUAUAAUUAGUUGAAGCUCAAAUAAAAACAUAGAAGUAAUUGAAUAUAUAUACUAUAAAUUGGUGUAAAAACAACUUAAAACAUAAACUCAUAAGAGUUAAUGCUGGUUAAAAACCAUUAAAUAAAAACUACAAAGAAAUUCAGAUAGUUUUGUAAAGCAUCGUACGGGUAACAAUAGGACAAUUUUUCUUGUGCUAACGGAAAUGAGGGUAAGUUUAUGAAAUAUCCCUUGCUGAGAUUACAAAGAUUAAAAGGAAAACGAGUGGAAAAGAUAAACAACACGGUUGAAGCCUAUAAAGGAAAUUUAUGAAAGAAAUUAUCCAUCCAUCCAAUUUGCUGAUCUGCAAAGCCAGUCAGCAGCAGCAUCGUCACCGACAAUCACAACAGAGAUCAGCAAUAGGAUUUUUCCUUCGGAGCAGUUUCAACAUCGUCGGCAGGGUUGAGCAUAGAAAUAAAUGUACCAUUUCACACUCAAGUAAACAACAACAAAAUGCAAGUGACAGGAGCGCGACCUAAAGCACAACCAGUAACAUCGACAUUUCCAUUUAGUAAAAUUCGACACUUUAAUUUCCAUUUAAUAAAUUUCAAGAAAAAUCAACAGUAAAUUAACAAAAUGCUACAUCGCAAGUGGAUUUGCAACUAAACAGCAGCAAUGUUUGCAAGAGGAAUUCUUCGAAAGAAAAGUACCAAAUUUUAUUGGAAAUUGAUGGAAGUGUCUAAUCACAACAAAAUCCUUUAAAUACAAAGUAUAACAGGUACUUUGUCCAUGGUCCUACGCCAACCCAACUGGCUGUAUUUAUUUAUUUACUUAUACAUGAAAUUCAACGAAGCCAAAUUAACAGUCGAAUUCAAGUAAAUCUUAAUAGUAAAUCUUAUACUAAUUACCUCAAAAGGCAACCGGGUCCCAACCCAAACUCCUUAGGGCAAACAGCAAGGAUUGCUUCUGAAAAAAUUCAAUUGAAUCUACAUACCACCUAUCGGAGGGUGACUCCUGAACAGAGGCAUACUCAAGUAUUUGUCUAACCAAAAACCUGUACAGCCUUUUCGUAAUAUAGGGAUCAUCAAGCUCUAUAGACCACCUCUUUACAAAACCAUGCGCGGAUCCAGCUAGCUAGCUAGGAUCCGUGUGAGAAGCAAUUGAGCGAGAUUUGCAAAAUAUACUACUUACAAUGGUGCUAAAGGUAAUUAACACCUUGAGAAUGUACCUUAGAUGCCCGAAACACAUUUUAGAAGGAUUAAUUGAAAAGGCAAGAAAAUAUUUCCGUCGACAGAUAAGCUGAAGUCGAUGAUUUAUUUUGCAUUUUGUGCCACCUUGAAGACUUGCAAAAUGGACACACAUAAGAAUAAACCGAUGUUGGUAAAAGGACUUGCGGGUAAGCUGUCGAGCCAAUAUAAAUUAUAUUGGACUAUGUACACUGAAAAUAAUCGGAUGGCAAUUAUAAAAACAUUUAGUGAGUGGAUCUUCUGAAUCGCUGGUAGAAGAACAAUCGCCAUCUGAAAUAAGAUAUUGCAUACAGACAGGACAUAGUGAAGGUGAACAAUUUAUAUCGCACUUUUUUGAACAAAACUGAAGUGAAUAGAAUGUAGCGUUAAAGGCUGCACUAUAAAGCUUUAUAAGCUGAUGUAUAAUUAUGUCAACGAUCCAGCAUCGUCGUCUUCGCAGAAAUAAAUUUUUGCAAAAUCAAGUAAAGCAUUAAGUAAAACAAUUACAUAUUCGACAUCAGAGUGAAACACAGAAACAUUUUUAGAAUUUUACCAAUUCGACUUCAUUUUCCAAGUGCGUCUAGAAUGGACCAUUCAGGUCUACAGUGGCAACUCUAAAGGAUUUAAGUGGUUAAAUAUUGAUUAUUGUGACUGCGAAAGCAAUUAUAAUGAAUUGCAUAAAAUGGUAAACGAGGAGUUUCUAUUUAAAAGGCUCAACUAAGAAAUCAUUACAUUACACUACACCAUAUAACAUGUCAAAAAUUCGACGCAUAUUACGUCUGCACGUAAGAAUAAAGUAGCGUUGAAUCGUACUAGUGGCAGGCCUUUGAGGCAAGUCCAUAAAUUCACAAGGUUUAAAGAAAGGACUCUAGCGACCUUUGGAACAAUUGCUGCUAAUUGAUUGCCAAAUGUUUUUGGGUAUAGGUGUUCCAUUGGGGUUCGAUCUAAUGGAUACAAAUAAAAUGCAACAUGAAAUAGCGCAACACCUUGAAUAAACACCUAAGUCUUGAUUUGAGGACGUCGAAUCACUUUUCAAUUAUAUUACGCACUUUUCCGUAGAUUUUUUAAAUUUCUCUUCCCUCACAUUAGUUGUCUCGGCUAAAGGUGUCAUUAGCUACGUUUCUCUCGAAUAACCCGAGUCUGCAAUCCGAGUGGUAGAAUACCGGGAACUACACAUAGAUAUGCGAAAAUUGAAGUUCAUGAUCGCAAACCUUUCAAAUAACGAAAAAAAGAAUAAGUAACAUACAUCUUUAAACUAAAACUUAAUUAACGUAUAGUUUCAUCAUUUAAAUUAUAAUAUACCUUUCUGUUCAUACAUUGUAACCAGGCUUUGUAUAUCUAUCAAACUUAGUUUUAUGUAACCCCAUCAUUACAUCUAUUGCAUUUAACCAAUGUGCUAGUAAGUCUAACUAUGUCCUCUUAUAUCUGAAACUGUUAUCUAAAUAAUCUUUAGGGCAACGUUGCAGUGUCGCUAUAUGAUGAUUACAGGCCUAUGACUCAUGCGCACUAGUCUUAGCUGAGCUAGCUAGUUCGUCAGAUGUAGAAAGACUUUUUAUCUUUGCUCACAGAUAUUCUUUGGACGAUUACCACCAGAAGAAAUUGCACGUGGUUGCAAACCCGAAGGCGGUACAAACACAAAAAUAAAGUUGAAUUAGUACAGCAACCAGCUCCCAUCACGAACAUCACGGGCGCCGGAACAUAUUGGCCGGCAUCGUCUAAGUUGAACACUUUCCUUUUCUAUCCUUCAUUUAAGCUGAAUUCGUACAUCUUUGCUUACAAAUUAAUUAUUAACCAAAUUUGUUUUCCUCUUUCUUACUGAAACUUUAUACAAUUCUUUUUCUUUCAUUUUGAUUCACUUUUAAAGAAGUUUCUUUUUCUCAUCCCUUUAUUUUUCUGUUUCCUUAAAUGUAUUUGCUUUGUAUUAGCAUACCACGACGUAGAAAGUGUUAAAUUGUUUUUUUUAUUGUUGUGACACUGAAUUGUGGGUAAGGACGAUUAUGUUUAUGACAACAUCCACAUCGUUCCUGGUGGAAUAGUUGCAACUAGUAAGUGCAUAAAUUAUAUAAAUUGGAAUACUAAUAAAAGGAUAUUUUUUUACCCAAAAAACCAUACUUUGAAUUUUUUAAUCCAUAUUUUUCAUCAAUCGUUAGAGAGCGAAUUUUAGUAGAUUCUACAUACAGAAUUAAUCUGCGAAUAUACUUUGUACUUCUUGAAAUUGAUGGCUGCUUUACUUGAAUUGACUAAUUGUUUGCUACACGCUUCUGAUAGGACCCACGAGCCAAAAAUAUAACACUGAAAAAAGCUGUUUGAUAUUGAUAAAUAAAAUGGACUUCUGUAGAAAGAAUACAAGUUCAUCACUCGAAUUCCAAAGGGCAAAGUAGUGAUCGUCAAGCGCCACCAAAUCCUUCAUGAUAUACCAUAGCAUCGUUUUAGGAAAUGUAAAAAGUCGCAUGGAGACCUAAUCUUGAAGCAGAAACCAGUUCUUCUUAUCCUUAAACGUUUCAGCAAUCCUUUACGCUGCAAUCUAAUGAAAUUGAUUAAUAAAAAGAUAGUACUAAAUGCCUUUUUUACUGCUUCCUUUCCGUAUUUAUCACAAAAUCAUACAAAAACAUUGUGAUUGUAUCUUAUUCUAAAUUACAUAUUCUUUUACAAUAUCCUCAAAUUUUUAAAAGUUUUGUCAGUAUACUGUUGAACUACGCUCUGUUAUUAUAAUAACAAUGCACUGUGAUCUGGUGAAAAUUAGAUCGCACACCAUGUCGUAUUUUCGUAGUCUCCAUAUUUAUGCUAAAAUGUCAGAAUACUAUGCUAGAAUGUCACUAUUAUCGCUUCGCCUAACAUCGGAUGAUGCCUAAGCUGACACUGCCAUCUUCUAUGCGUAAGAUUUAGUGGUCCUACUGUUAUCCAGAGAUGACGCCUAAGCUGAGAUUGCCAUCGCCUAUCCGUAGUCAAAAAAAUGUCCCAGUCGGUAAUGUCAAGUACAAACGAGUAUGUUGUCUGCGAUUCCUUACCUCUGGCUGCUGUAACAAGACUGAAAGAAUGAGCGUAUUACGACACGCUCUUUUGUUGUCGCGGUCACCAUCGCUGUCCUGUUACAUAGAGUGUUGUGCUGCACUUGUGUUGCAAUCUCAACACUUACUUUUAUAUGUGUUAUAAUGAUACUCUUACAUACAUCUUAUUAUUAAUGCUAUCUUAGGUACCAAAUCGCAUGAUCGAACAUGUAUGAAAGCCAUUAAUCCCUACUUAACAAGAACAACUCAAUGUGCUAGCUUUGGCAUAUUGAAGUAACUGUUAAUAUACAAGUAUGGCAAUAACUGUAAA